AAAGAUUUUGUGUUCAUUUGAUGUGGGGAGAUUCUUGAGAGUUCAGCCGAACGCAGCAGACGUCUUUGGACAGCAGCAGAGUGGUACCCUUUAGUGCUAGCCGCUGCGAAAAUUGAGAUAGAGGAGCAGCGGAAGCAGAACGAGGGUCUGACAGCCCUCAUUAAAAGCUUGCAGGAGUCAAUAGACCUGCAAAACAGAGAGAAGAAAGAAAACGGCAAGCGUUUGCGUAUCGAGAGUCCACAAGUGUCGGACUCUUUUGAAAGAACUGUAUUUAACACAAAUUGAGUUAGCCAGAUGGGAAUAGAGCGUUAUUUACUAAGCAUUCAAAUAGAUGCGAUAUAAAAAAUAAAUUCGAAAAAGCACCUUUAUUUAUUUAUACUCGGUUGAUGAUUGUUGUACGAUUACGUUGCACUUAAUUUGUAUAUUGUUAGGACUUUGCAGAUUCCAUGUGUACAUUGUUAAGCAUUUGCACACUUGGUUUAUAUAUUAUGUAAGCUUACUUGAAAAGUCAGGCAAAUUCGGUAGCAACAUUUUCAUUUAAACAACUUGUAAGUACCUUGAUUGCACUACAAACUGUUAUAGAAGCUUAGCAUAUUUAAGGUAGUAGCACAAGGUGACGAUUUUGAAAAAUCUUGUUUUUUCUUUACAUAUUUCGUAAGUAUAAUCUAUUGAAUAUAUACCGUCAAAAUCUAA